rnacentral:rRNA from 1 species
GACGAACGCUGGCGGCGUGCUUAACACAUGCAAGUCGAACGGUAAGGCCCUUCGGGGUACACGAGUGGCGAACGGGUGAGUAACACGUGGGUGAUCUGCCCUGCACUUCGGGAUAAGCCUGGGAAACUGGGUCUAAUACCGGAUAGGACUCCGGACUGCAUGGUCUGGGGUGGACAGCUUUUUCGGUGUGGGAUGGGUCCCGCGGCCUAUCAGCUUGGUGGUGGGGUGAUGGCCUACCAAGGCGACGACGGGUAUCCGGCCUGAGAGGGUGACCGGCAACGCUGUGGCGGAGCUCCGGCCCAAAUUCCUACUGGAGGCAGCAGUGGGGAAUAUUGCACAAUGGGCGCAAGCCUGAUGCAGCGACGCCGCGUGAGGGAUGACGGCCUUCGGGUUGUAAGCCUCUUUCAGCAUCGACGAAGCGAAAGUGACGGUAGGUGCAGAAGAAGGACCGGCCAACUACGUGCCAGCCGCCGCGGUAA